UUCCUGGGGAGGCUGCCGCCUCCCUCUUCACCCUCUAGCAGGUUCAGGGUGCUGAGCCCCGCCUGCACCGCCCAGGGCUGGGGCCCUGCGAGGUAACUGAUGGGCGGAGGUAAGAAAGGAGGAAGCGAGUUUUUGAAAAGCGAGUCUGUUCAGGCCCUCGACUCGGCUCCCCACCCGCUCCCGGGCUCCCUGGGCGCCCUCCGGGUCUCACACCUGGGCCUUGGUCGGGGUGGAGCCCAUUCCAGGUGCCUGCACCCGCGCCCGGGAUGGGGCCGCCCCGGCUCGGGUGUCUCCCCAGCUGGAGGCCCGUUCCCAGCUUUGCGGAGGACUUGCCCAAGGAAGCACCGGUUGGUGUCCUAACGACCAGGUGGCAGGGAGGUGGUCCGCCUCUGCUGAGAGCCCCAGAGCUGCUGCCCAAGGCCUGGCUCUGGGGAGGGUGAACCACAGCUUGGGAGGGCGACUCUAACCUGCGACCCUGCGUGGGGCCGUUGCCUGGAGGUUUGCUCUGGAACUGAGCUGCUGGGACCCAGCCCGAUUCUAAACACAGAGGGAGAAGGUUGCCCUUCUCCUCUCUCAACCUUACAUUGUUCUGAAUUCCAAGACCGGUCAGGCCAGGGUCCCUUUCUCCAGUGUGUGUCCAGCCCUUUGAAGUUCAAGUCCUGAGAAAAGCUGAUAGGCAGCUGGCCGGGUGUCAGAGAAUCUAGCGGAGGACAGAAGGCGCCUCCUACUGGGAAUCUGCCUUGUCCAGGAUGGAAAAUAGACACCCUGCUGGUAAUUGCAAUCAAGCUCACUUACAAACUGCUGACUUCAUGGGUACACAUGGUCCCCAUGGGUGUAUACUUACAGAGUGGUCACACGUGGGUAUUUUUUCCCGUUGUUGCUUCUUAAUGGCAACAGUUCAACAGGACCCUCGUGUCUAUAAAGAAGCCAAUUUGGGGCUGUCCUGUGAUUUGGGGGUGGGAAAGGCAUUUAGAGAAACAGAGUAAUGGUCUCCAUAAGUAUAUCAAUAACUGGUAUUCCUCACAUCCUUACUGCGGAUCAAGCACCAGGUUACCACCUGCUGCCCUUGCACCAUCUCAUUUAAUCCUCAUAACAACCCUGGAGAUGGUUAUCAGUUAUGCCCACUUUAUAGAACAGAAAGCUGAAGCUUAAAGGGUUGAGGUCAUUUGCCCAAAGUCAUACAGCUGAGAAGUGUCAGGAGCUUGACCCAAGUUGGUCCCCUCCAGAGCCUGUGCUCUCCCUGCUAUAGAAAAAUCACUUGUCAUGUUCUGGGCCCUGAGACAAGCUUCCCCUGCUUUUCCUAUCUGUCACUCAGGAAGAAGACACCAGUGUCGCACUCUGCAUAGUGGUGUCAUUUUUUACAAGUCUGCCUCCUGCUCUCCUGAGGACUGGGACCCCUGCGCCCCCAUACUGGCCCCCUGCAGGUGAGGCUAAGACUCAGAGGAGUUACGUACCUGGAUCCAUUAGCAGGUGGUAGAGCCAAGAAUUGAACCAAGGACCAAUAUGAGGAUUAGGUGAACCAGAAUGUGAAAAAGUGCCUUAUAAAUGGUCCAGUGACAUCUGAACAUGAGUCGUUUGGGGCAUUAACUUGUCCAGCUCUGAAAGUCUGGAUUUGAGGAGGACUGGAUGCUGUUCCGAGCAUUUCCUGGCGUACAUUUUGACUUGCUCUGCCUGAGUGAGCAAGUAACUAAUUUAAAAUAUUCGACUGUCUCUGGUCAGUGACUGACCACAAUCUGUCAUAAAGUAAGGCUGAAAAAUUCACUUAGAGGAAGAGAUCAUCUUGCAGAAGAACUCACAUGUGUGCUCAAGAAGAUGUGUUCAAGGAUUUCCAUUGCUGAUUAUUUAUAAUGGUGAAAAAUCAUUGUCAAGCUAAAUGCCACCAAAAAGAGAUAAGCUAAAUGCCACCAAAAAGAGAUAUGCUAAAUUAAUUAUGGUGCAGGCUCAUACUGGAAUACUAUGCAGUCAUGAAGAGAGAAGGCACCAUCUCACAGGGAUGAAUAUCCAAGAUGGACCAUUAACUGAGAAAAGCAAGAGACCAAGAAUUUUGAUGCCACACAAAUGGUGUUUUUGUUUGUUUGUUUGUUUGUUUUUUGCGGUAUGAGGGCCUCUCACUGCUGUGGCCUCUCCC